CACGUAGGCGGACUGGAAAGUUGGAGGUGAAAUCCCAGGGCUCAACCUUGGAACUGCCUUCAAAACUAUCAGUCUGGAGUUCGGGAGAGGUGAGUGGAAUUCCGAGUGUAGAGGUGAAAUUCGUAGAUAUUCGGAGGAACACCAGUGGCGAAGGCGGCUCACUGGCUCGAUACUGACGCUGAGGUGCGAAAGUGUGGGGGGCAAACA
rnacentral:rRNA from 1 species